AGGUUGCUGUUCCGGCGGUGGAGCUGCUGCCGGCGUCCACGUCACUGACCUGCUGCUUCUUCCUGGUUCAGAUCAUUUUGGAGAAGUAGCUGAAAGGCGGGAAGUGGGUGUACCGGGAUGCGCUAUCGGUGGGGAACCAGGAGGAGGAGGCGCGGGAGCGGAUGUCAUAGGCAACAUCCAUGAGUGCCGUGGGGAGGCGCUCCGGUUGCUGCGGAUUGACUACGAGGCCUCCGUCAAGACUCAAGAGCCUGGAUAACAAGGAGCACUAAACGAGAGCGAUGGCCUUCUUCUUCGACUCCAUGUGGUUGGGUAUAGGUAAAGUGAGAAAGAAAGGAGAUGAAGAAGACAGAGGAAAGGACCAGAUAGCUAGCUAGGUCAUUUUGCUCUGAUAAUGCUGAAGCAUACGCCGGUUUCUUGGAUGGAAGUUGGAAGACCUGGGGGGGGAAUAGGCAAUGCAUGUCAUGAUAUAUACGCCUUGGUGUUUGAAGAAUCUGUAUGCAGCUGGAGGUUUGUUUCUAGCGUCAUGAGCAGCGGAGCUUAAAAAAUCUGGUAACGCCUCAUGAAUGUGUUGUGUAUGUAACUGUUGUCCCAGCUUCGGUUGAUGUUUACAGUUUGGUAAA